GACUGGGUGGCUUAGUUGGUUAAGCAUCCAACUUCGGCUCAGAUCAUAAUCUCACAGUUCGUGGGUUUGAGUCCCUCCUCGGGCU
rnacentral:tRNA from 1 species